CCUAGACACCUCCAGUUC
rnacentral:miRNA from 1 species